rnacentral:rRNA from 1 species
CGGACGGGUGAGUAAUGUAUGGGGAUCUGCCUGAUGGCGGGGGAUAACUACUGGAAACGGUAGCUAAUACCGCAUAAUGUCUGCGGACCAAAGCGGGGGACCUCCGGGCCUCGCGCCAUCAGAUGAACCCAUAUGGGAUUAGCUUGUAGGUAAGGUAACGGCUUACCUAGGCGACGAUCCCUAGCUGGUCUGAGGGGAUGAUCAGCCACACUGGGACUGAGACACGGCCCAG